rnacentral:rRNA from 1 species
ACUACGGUGGGCAGCAGUGGGGAAUAUUGCACAAUGGGCGCAAGCCUGAUGCAGCCAUGCCGCGUGUGUGAAGAAGGCCUUCGGGUUGUAAAGCACUUUCAGCGGGGAGGAAGGCGUUAAGGUUAAUAACCUUGGCGAUUGACGUUACCCGCAGAAGAAGCACCGGCUAACUCCGUGCCAGCAGCCGCGGUAAUACGGAGGGUGCAAGCGUUAAUCGGAAUUACUGGGCGUAAAGCGCACGCAGGCGGUCUGUCAAGUCGGAUGUGAAAUCCCCGGGCUCAACCUGGGAACUGCAUUCGAAACUGGCAGGCUAGAGUCUUGUAGAGGGGGGUAGAAUUCCAGGUGUAGCGGUGAAAUGCGUAGAGAUCUGGAGGAAUACCGGUGGCGAAGGCGGCCCCCUGGACAAAGACUGACGCUCAGGUGCGAAAGCGUGGGGAGCAAACAGGAUUAGAUACCCGUGUAGUC